rnacentral:lncRNA from 1 species
CUGAUAGACAUUAGCCCCCACGCCUGCGUACACGUUCCCCCAGAGGCCGCCACGCCCGCGUACACACUCCUGUGGAAUCCAUCGCAUUGGUGUACACGCUCCGGCAGAGCCCGCCACACUCACCUAAACCCUAAGAAAAUGGAGGGCCAAGAUUGUGGAUUAAACCAAAGUCUACAUUUCCUCUGUUAAAAAGGCCUAUUCAAGUCAAGGGAACUUUUUAAGGCUCAAGCUCAAGACCUGGAGACACAGCCACCUCCGGCAUGUGUGAAGGGCCAGCUAAGCCCGGGAGUGCUGGUGAGGCUCUGCCUGGAUGCCCCCCUCGCGCCACACCUAGGCCUCAGCGGCAUCUGGAGGCAGAGGAUUCGGAGCUCUUCCCCGGCACAGAGCUUGGAGCCAGGCAGGACGGACGACCCAGCCGAGGUCAAAGCAGGGACAUUUCUCUUCACCCGCCUGGCUAAAUAUCAGAAAAACACUGUCGCUAUGAGCACAUUUUUAUAAAUAUUUGAGUUAAAUCGUUAUUAAAUUGCAUAUGAUUCAUUCCAUAAUUAUGGUUCAGUAGUUC